UUUCAUGUUAAAAACUCUGAGAAAACUAGGAAUAGAAGAGAACAUAUUCAACAUGAUUAAAGACAUUUGUGGACAACUUACAUCAUACUCAAUGGGGAAAGACUGAAUGCUUUUCCCUUGAAAUCAGGAAUGAGGCAGGUGGUCCAUUUUUACCAUGACUGGAGAUUCUAGUUAGAGCAAUUAUGCAAGAAAAAGAAAUAUAAGACAGAGUGUCACCGUUACUCCGAGGAGAGGCCACUCUCUGGAGGAAGUUUUCAGGGUUAGAGAGAACUGAGAGGCACUUGCUGUCUUCAGUCGGAGUUGAGGGUGCAAAAAUGCAGAGCAAUACAACUUUUAGUUUGGAGAAGCAAAGCCAUACUCCAAGAAAGCAUCAUCAGCAUCACCACCAGCAGCAGCACCACCAGCAGCAACAGCAGCAGCCACCACCACCGCCAAUACCUGCAAAUGGGCAGCAGACCAGCAGCCAAAAUGAAGGCUUGACUGCUGACCUGAAGAAUUUUAGGAAACCAGGAGAGAAGACCUUUACCCAACGAAGCCGUCUCUUUGUGGGAAAUCUUCCUCCUCACAUCACUGAGGAGGAAAUGAGGAAACUAUUUGAGAAAUAUAGGAAGGCAGGCGAAGUUUUCAUUCAUAAGGAUAAAGGAUUUGGCUUUAUCUGCUUGGAAACACGAACCCUAGCGGAGAUUGCUAAAGUGGAGCUGGACAAUAUGCCCCUCCGUGGAAAGCAACUGCGUGUACGCUUUGCCUGCCACAGUGCAUCCCUUACGGUCCAAAACCUCCCUCAGUAUUUGUUCAACGAACUAAUACUGAGAAGCCUUUUCUGUAUUUGACCAGGUGGAGAGGGCUGUAGUCAUUGUGGAUGAUCGAGGAAGGCCCUCAGGAAAAGGCAUUGUUGAGUUCUCAGGGAAGCCAGCCGCUCGGAAAGCUUUGGACAGAUGCAGUGAAGGCUCCUUUCUGCUAACCACUUUUCCUCGUCCUGUGACUGUGGAACCCAUGGACCAGUUAGAUGACGAAGAGGGACUUCCAGAGAAGCUGGUUAUAAAGAACCAGCAAUUUCACAAGGAGCGAGAGCAGCCACCGAGAUUUGCACAGCCUGGCUCCUUUGAGUAUGAGUAUGCCAUGGCUGGAAGGCACUCAUUGAGAUGGAGAAGCAGCAGCAGGACCAAGUGGACCGCAACAUCAAGGAGGCUCGUGAAAAGCUGGAGAUGGAGAUGGAGGCUGCUCGCCAUGAGCAUCAGGUCAUGCUAAUGAGACAGGAUUUGAUGAGGCCCAAGAAGAACUUCGGAGGAUGGAAGAGCUGCACAACCAAGAGGUGCAAAAACGAAAGCAACUGGAGCUCAGGCAGGAGGAGGAGCGCAGGCGCCGGGAGGAAGAGAUGCGGUGACAACAAGAAUAAGUGAUGCGGUGACAGCAGGAAGGAUUCAAGGGAACCUUCCCUGAUGCGAGAGAGCAGGAGAUAUGGAUGGGCCAGAUGGCUAUGGGAGGUGCUAUGGGCAUAAACAGCAGAGGUGCCAUGCCCCCUGCUCCUGUGCCAACUGGUACCCCCGCUCCUCCAGGACCUGCCACUAUGAUGCCGGAUGGAACCUUGGGAUUGACCCCACCAACAACUGAACGCUUUGGCCAAGCUGCUACAAUGGAAGGAAUUGGGGCAAUUGGUGGAACUCCUCCUGCAUUCAACCGUGCAGCCCCUGGAGCUGAAUUUGCUCCAAACAAAUGUCACCAAUACUAAUAAAGUUGCAGUGUCUGGUUUCUCAAAACCUUAAAAGAAAGGACCCUUUUUGGACUAGCCAGAAUUCUACCCUGGAAAAGCGUUAGGGAUUUCUCCCAAUAGUUAGGUCUACCCUUCCUGUACUACUCUAGGGAGUAUACUAGAGGCAAAGGGCAAGAGAGGGGUGGUAUUUAACAAAUCGGUUCUGUGUGAUGUAUUGUUUAAUCACUUAUGUGGUGCAUUCCUGAAGUCUCAAAUGUGAUUGUUGAGAGUCUGGGGGAACCAUGGCAAAAUGGAUCUAGUUGGACCCUCAUUAAUCUUGAUCAUUCCGUUUUUUGUCCUUCCUGUUUUGCUUCCUUAUCCUUACACCUUCCCCCAGCCCCAGAGACACUGCCACAUAAACCACAAAAACCAAACCUCCCCCAAUGACCUUAGCCCCAUUGUUCAAUUCACUCCCAGGUGAGAAUUCAGGCAAACGUCCACAGAGGUCACAGGCAACAUACGGUUCUGUUAUAUCCCAUAUAUUACCCCUUUAUGUCCCAAGGAAGACAUUUUCUCCUAGAGAUUUUCAUUUUAGUAUAUCUUUAAAAAAAAUCUUGUGUUAACUUGCCUCCAUCUUUUUCUUGGGUAAGGACAACCCAGGAAUGGCCCUUUUGUGUCUAUGAUGUUACUGUUCAUAGCUUUUCUUGAUAGGCCUAAUACUAUCUUGGGAACAGGGUUGCUGUAUGCUAAAGGUCUGACAGUAGCUCUUAGAUUUGCCUAUCUUAGGUAGUUGUGCUGUGCAUUUUUUUUUUAUUGGUGUACCAUGUUUGAUUUGUCCCUAAUAUCUUAAAUUUGGAGUUUUUUGAGAAAUGGAGCAGUAAUGAGCAUCAACUUAUUAAAAUACAUUUUAAGCCUU